rnacentral:piRNA from 1 species
UACAGGACACAUGUCAUGUUCAAGGUCAUAA